rnacentral:rRNA from 1 species
GAUGAACGCUGGCGGCGUGCUUAACACAUGCAAGUCGAACGAGAAAUGUAGACGGACACCUUCGGGCGGAAGCCUUCAUUUCGAGUGGCGGACGGGUGAGUAACGCGUGGGUAACCUGCCUCAUACAGGGGGAUAACAGUUGGAAACGACUGUUAAUACCGCAUAAGACCACAGCAUCGCAUGAUGCGGGGGUAAAAACUCCGGUGGUAUGAGAUGGACCCGCGUUCGAUUAGCCAGUUGGCGGGGUAACGGCCCACCAAAGCGACGAUCGAUAGCCGAUCUGAGAGGAUGACCGGCCACAGUGGGACUGAGACACGGCCCAGACUCCUAAGGGAAGCAGCAGUGGGGAAUAUUGCACAAUGGGAGACACCCUGAUGCAGCGACGCCGCGUGAGUGAAGAAGUACUUCGGUAUGUAAAGCUCUAUUAGCAGGGAAGAAAAUGACGGUACCUUAGUAAGAAGCUCCGGCUAACUACGUG